CUUCAACUCUGCCCUGCAGGGAUCAUUUCCAGGAGUGGCAGGAAGAACCAAGUGCACAGCUGUCUUGGCAACCUCUCCUCCCGGAAGCCUAUGGAGAGUUCAUGGGUGGCGCUGUUGUUUGUUGAACCCGAGCAUGGUGAAGAGGAAGAACCUCCGACUCCUCCACAUGGGAAAGAUGGAGUAGAGAGAUUGCUGUGAUGACCCGCAACUUGGGGCUUUUGAGAAAUGAUGGUCUCCUGACGAAUAUUAGCUCAUAGCAGAAAGGAGGUGGAUUAUAAAUAGCAGCCUUUUGCUUCUAUGCAGAGACAUUUCAGAGAGCUCCACUCUCCUUUUCUUCACCUCAUUAAAAAGUAAACAGAGA